AUAAUCCGUAUUUAUUUUAAGAAACCCUCCAAGGAGUAAAUGUUAAAAACAAAAACAAAAAUAGAAAGCCCAGCACGUUGGACUGAGUAGAGCCCAAGUUCCUAUUUCUUAAAAGAUAGAAGUGUACUUCCUGGAGCACAAGGUCGACGCACUCACCCUGUCCCUGGGUCUGUCGCCGGGAUCUGUCGAUUCAGCGGGAAACACAAGAGUCCGCGGGCUGCGCGGGGCCUGACUGUGCGCGAGGCUCGGUUCAGCUUCCCAAAGCACCAUCAUGGAUACACGGGCGAGGACGGCGCCUCGGCUAUUGGGGUUCUAGCUUCUCUCCGAUUUCUUCCUAAGUUUCAUCUGUUUGUUAUUCUUAAAGUUUUCUGGUGUUCUUCAUACCACAGGAGGCCUGCCGUAGAUUCAUUUUGUGUUCACUGGCUUAUGAUGGCUUCUCCUGUGAAAAAUUUAAAAAUGUGUGCCAUGGACAUUCCAAUGAGUGUCUCCCCCACCUUGUCUUGAAUACCCUGUACUUCCAGAAAAUUUGGAAGAGUAGAGAGCCUAAGAGAAAAUAUGGGAAACUUUGAAUGGGUGGACAGGGUCUUUUUUGAAUACCAGCAUGAAAAAGUCACCAGUACCCCCCUGAAUAUAUGGUUCUGCCUAGUACUGGUAUCUUCACAGGAGAGAAAAUUCAUUUUCUAAAAAAAGGAGGAAAACGCUUUCAAACUCAUUAAAUACAUCUUUUGCUACACAGUAAUUUAUCUAAUCAGUUUCUUUUUCUCCACUGAAGAUAAGAAAAAUAGAGACUCAAAAGAGCAGAAAUGGACCAUGAUGUAUUUUUAACCCCCUUUCUCCUAAUACUUUGUAAAUGUCUGAAAGGUUAAGAUUCCCUCCAGAUACACACAUUUUCUCUCCUUUCCAUGUUUGUUUAUUUGGCGAAUUUCUCAAAUACAAUUAGCUUUCUUUCACUUAGUGCUGAAAAGACAAGGGCAUCUUAAGAUCCCAAGAAGAUUGAGGAGACAGGAAAGGUCUCCACAAGGGUUUAUUACCAUGUCCCAGGAGAGAUGAUUUUGGUAGAAUCUUAGUUUGCUUCCCCUUCUUGCCACCCCCCAAAUUUCUCAAGGUGUUCCCUGUUCUGUUGCCUUUGAAGGUACUUUGCCAAAAGUCUAGUCCUCAGGACUUUGUGAUUCUGAUUAGAUGAUGGUUCUAAGAAAUGAAUAGUGCCAUUUGGAUGAUAACAUCUGUCACAUUUCCUAAUGUAGUUUCCUUUACUUUCUUCUAUACUUCAAGCAGAAGUACACUUAGAGCCUUAAAAACAAACAAACAAGCAAACAAACAAAAAACCCAGCUAAUUUAAUCUUAGACCAUUUGGUACCGAUGACCUGAUGAAGAUGUAUUGUCUAAUUCAGACACAGUGAUUGCUAUGUCUGAUGCCUGCCCCAAUAACACUGUUGAUUAUGUUAUUUCAAGUCUGGAUA